GCAGUACUGGGUGGCGACCGGCAAACGGGUGCGGAACACGUACGCAACCUUCCUUCAGGCGGGGAAUAGCCCAAAGAAAUUUGGAUUAAUACCCCAUAGGAAUGUAGUCUCGCAUGAGACAACAUUUAAAGAUUUAUCACUUGAAGAUGGGCGUGCGUCUGAUUAGGUAGUUGGUGAGGUAACGGCUCACCAAGCCGACGAUCAGUAACUGGCGUGAGAGCGCGACCAGUCACACGGGCACUGAGACACGGGCCCGACUCCUACGGGAGGCAGCAGUAAGGAAUAUUGGUCAAUGGACGCAAGUCUGAACCAGCCAUGCCGCGUGGAGGAUGAAUGCCCUCUGGGUUGUAAACUUCUUUUAUCUGGGACGAAACACUUCUUAUCUAAGGAGCUUGACGGUACCAGAUGAGUAAGCACCGGCUAACUCCGUGCCAGCAGCCGCGGUAAUACGGAGGGUGCAAGCGUUAUCCGGAUUCACUGGGUUUAAAGGGUGCGUAGGCGGAUAUGUAAGUCUGUGGUGAAAUCUCUGAGCUUAACUCACAAACUGCCGUGGAUACUAUAUGUCUUGAAUGUUGUGGAGGUUAGCGGAAUAUGUCAUGUAGCGGUGAAAUGCUUACAUAUGACAUAGAACACCGAUUGCGAAGGCAGCUGGCUACACAACUAUUGACGCUGAGGCACGAAAGCGUGUGGAUCAAACAGGAUUAGAUACCCUGGUAGUCCACGCCCUAAACGAUGGAUACUCGACAUUUGCGAUAUAUUGUAAGUGUCUG
rnacentral:rRNA from 1 species